UCCGGUUUGGCACCGGCAGUCUCCAAUGAGUCCCCGGCAUUACCCGAUGGCAACAUAGGAUAAGGGUUGCGCUCGUUGCGGGACUUAACCCAACAUCUCACGACACGAGCUGACGACAGCCAUGCACCACCUGCACACAGGCCACAAGGGAACCGACAUCUCUGUCGGGAUCCUGUGCAUGUCAAACCCAGGUAAGGUUCUUCGCGUUGCAUCGAAUUAAUCCACAUGCUCCGCCGCUUGUGCGGGCCCCCGUCAAUUUCUUUGAGUUUUAAUCUUGCGACCGUACUUCCCAGGCGGCGCAUUUAUCGCGUUAGCUUCGCCACAAACGGGGUCGAUUCCGUUUACAGCAAAUGCGCACCGUUUACAGCCAAGACUAC
rnacentral:misc_RNA from 1 species